rnacentral:rRNA from 1 species
GACGAACGCUGGCGGCGUGCUUAACACAUGCAGGUCGAACGGAAAGGCCCUGCUUUUGUGGGGUGCUCGAGUGGCGAACGGGUGAGUAACACGUGAGUAACCUGCCCUUGACUUUGGGAUAACUUCAGGAAACUGGGGCUAAUACAGGAGAGGAGCUCCUGCUGCAUGGUGGGGGUUGGAAAGUUUCGGCGGUUGGGGAUGGACUCGCGGCUUAUCAGCUGGUUGGUGGGGUAGUGGCUUACCAAGGCUUUGACGGGUAGCCGGCCUGAGAGGGUGACCGGCCACAUUGGGCCUGAGAUACGGCCCAGACUCCUACGGGCGGCAGCAGUGGAGAAUAUUGCACAAUGGGCGGAAGCCUGAUGCAGCAACGCCGCGUGCGGGAUGACGGCCUUCGGGUUGUAAACCGCUUUCGCCUGUGACGAAGCGUGCGUGACGGUAAUGGGUAAAGAAGCACCGGCUAACUACGUG